AUUGAACGCUGGCGGCAGGCCUAACACAUGCAAGUCGAGCGGAUGAAGGGAGCUUGCUCCUGGAUUCAGCGGCGGACGGGUGAGUAAUUCCUAGGAAUCUGCCUUGUAGUUGGGGAUAACGUCCGGAAACGGGCGCUAAUACCGCAUACGUCCUGAGGGAGAAAGUGGGGGAUCUUCGGACCUCACGCUAUCAGAUGAGCCUAGGUCGGAUUAGCUAGUUGGUGGGGUAAAGGCCUACCAAGGCGACGAUGCGUAACUGGUCUGAGAGGAUGAUCAGUCACACUGGAACUGAGACACGGUCCAGACUCCUACGGGAGGCAGCAGUGGGGAAUAUUGGACAAUGGGCGAAAGCCUGAUCCAGCCAUGCCGCGUGUGUGAAGAAGGUCUUCGGAUUGUAAAGCACUUUAAGUAGGGAGGAAGGGAAGUAAGUUAAUACCUUGCUGUUUUGACGUUACCAACAGAAUAAGCCCCGGCUAACUUCGUG
rnacentral:rRNA from 1 species